ACAACCACCUCACAUAAAAUGUGGUAUUGACCAAAGUGUGUAGCACUGAUAGUGUGCUUUUCCCACUUGGUUGAAAUGGAUUGGCCAGAGAAGUAUAUCAUGGCAACAGACUUUCAGAGUAUUUUUGAGAUACUAAACUAGUCUGUGGCAGGUUUGAAUCUGAGCUACCAGGACCCCCAUUUAGUCCAAAUAUAAUA
rnacentral:misc_RNA from 1 species